CAACAGUCUCCAACAAUUCACGGUCCGGUAAAGAGUGAAUUUUUUUUCGUCAAAGAGUGAAUUUUUUUUCGUCAUGGCUUUAACAAAGUUGAACCUGUUUACGAGACCAAAUCUAAGUGUGCAGUCAUUGAGUGUUGUUUUAACUCGAUACAAUACUACCACUACUGCCCCUCCCGCUAAGAAUGCAGACAAAAUUUGGGCCACCUAAAGAUGAAGACUGUAUCUUCACCAACCUUUAUGGUUGCCAUUAUUGGAGAUUGCAAGGAGCCCUGAAAAGAGGUGGCUAGUACAAAAUGAAAGGAAUCUUAUUGAAAAGAGUUGAUUGGAUUCUGAAGUUGGUUUCAGUUAAUGGCAAAUGUGAACUAAAACAGAUAAAAUGAAAAAAUCUGGCCUACGUAGACGUGGAGGCGUUGGUUUUCCAAGCGGCAUGAAAUGGAUCUUCAUGAAUAAA